GGAGGAUUGCUUGAGCCCAGGAGGUGGAGGCUGCAGUGAGCCGUGAGCAUGCCACUGCACUCCAGCCUGAGUGACAGAG
rnacentral:miRNA from 1 species